AGUGAACGCUGGCGGUAGGCCUAACACAUGCAAGUCGAACGGCAGCACAGUAAGAGCUUGCUCUUACGGGUGGCGAGUGGCGGACGGGUGAGGAAUACAUCGGAAUCUACUUUUUCGUGGGGGAUAACGUAGGGAAACUUACGCUAAUACCGCAUACGACCUACGGGUGAAAGCAGGGGAUCUUCGGACCUUUCGCGAUUGAAUGAGCCGAUGUCGGAUUUGCUAGUUGGCGGGGUGAAGGCCCACCAAGGCGACGAUCCGUAGCUGGUCUGAGAGGAUGAUCAGCCACACUGGAACUGAGACACGGUCCAGACUCCUACGGGAGGCAGCAGUGGGGAAUAUUGGACAAUGGGCGCAAGCCUGAUCCAGCCAUACCGCGUGGGUGAAGAAGGCCUUCGGGUUGUAAAGCCCUUUUGUUGGGAAAGAAAAGCAGCAGGUUAAUACCCCGCUGUUCUGACGGUACCCAAAGAAUAAGCACCGGCUAACUUCGUG
rnacentral:rRNA from 1 species